rnacentral:rRNA from 1 species
AGAGUUUGAUCAUGGCUCAGAGUGAACGCUGGCGGUAGGCCUAACACAUGCAAGUCGAACGGCAGCACAGGAGAGCUUGCUCUCUGGGUGGCGAGUGGCGGACGGGUGAGGAAUACAUCGGAAUCUACUCUGCCGUGGGGGAUAACGUAGGGAAACUUACGCUAAUACCGCAUACGACCUACGGGUGAAAGUGGGGGACCGCAAGGCCUCACGCGAUUGAAUGAGCCGAUGUCGGAUUAGCUAGUUGGCGGGGUAAAGGCCCACCAAGGCGACGAUCCGUAGCUGGUCUGAGAGGAUGAUCAGCCACACUGGAACUGAGACACGGUCCAGACUCCUACGGGAGGCAGCAGUGGGGAAUAUUGGACAAUGGGCGCAAGCCUGAUCCAGCCAUACCGCGUGAGUGAAGAAGGCCCUCGGGUUGUAAAGCUCUUUUGUUGGGAAAGAAAUCCUGUUGGUUAAUACCCGGCAGGGAUGACGGUACCCAAAGAAUAAGCACCGGCUAACUUCGUGCCAGCAGCCGCGGUAAUACGAAGGGUGCAAGCGUUACUCGGAAUUACUGGGCGUAAAGCGUGCGUAGGUGGUGAUUUAAGUCCGUUGUGAAAGCCCUGGGCUCAACCUGGGAAUUGCAGUGGAUACUGGGUCACUAGAGUGUGGUAGAGGGUGGCGGAAUUCCCGGUGUAGCAGUGAAAUGCGUAGAGAUCGGGAGGAACAUCCGUGGC